rnacentral:lncRNA from 1 species
AGUCCCCCGUUAUUAAGGGAUUUUGGGUUGUGAGUUAUUGGGGUUAACAGAGUUAACCGGUAAGAUUGGGUAAGAGCCAAAGUUUGAUUAUGAUUGGAGCAUGCAUGCAUUUCCAUUAUCGCAUUGAAAUUAUAUAUCUACUGACUUCUUUCUUGCAGGCAUAGUAUUAGUUGCAUUAGUAGUGGUUACUUUUCCUCCUUUGAAAUACUUAUGCCUGGAUGGACCUAGUGGGUAAGUCGGCGAGGUCGGAUGCCGAGCCCACUGGGAACUUCGUUGUAGUUCUCACACCACUAACCCUACAGGUCCUAGCACGAGCGGGGCGGCGGAGGACCGAGGCAAGGGUUUGGCGCCGUAGGUAGCGGCCACCGGGACUUUAUACAUUUUGUAGUCAUUCCCUUUUGUUAUACAUGUAUCAACUUUAUUUUGUUGAUUUAGAGAUGUAAAGUUGUAAACAAUCGUGUAUUUGGU